rnacentral:rRNA from 1 species
CAGUCGCCACGGGAAAACGGAGGGUGCAAGCGUUAUCCGGAUUUAUUGGGUUUAAAGGGUCCGUAGGCGGAUCUGUAAGUCAGUGGUGAAAUCUCACAGCUUAACUGUGAAACUGCCAUUGAUACUGCAGGUCUUGAGUAAAUUUGAAGUGGCUGGAAUAAGUAGUGUAGCGGUGAAAUGCAUAGAUAUUACUUAGAACACCAAUUGCGAAGGCAGGUCACUAAGAUUUAACUGACGCUGAUGGACGAAAGCGUGGGGAGCGAACAGGAUUAGAUACCCCGGUAGUCCCUGUCUCUUAUAC